UGUGGCUCAGUGGUAGAGUGCUUGCCUAGAAUGUAAGAGUUCUUGAGUUCUACCCCCAGCA
rnacentral:tRNA from 1 species